rnacentral:lncRNA from 1 species
CCAGCGGUAAGUUUGGACCGUAAUCUGCAAUACUAUCGACCCUCCGUUAAGCAUCAAGUUGAGCAGUCUAACAGGUUAUGCAUUUGUUCGGAGUGCAGUGAAGGACUCCUGAAUCAUAAACACAUUUGCUAAUAUGCGAUAAAAAAAAAGGAAAACAGUCAUUUUUCAACUCAUAGGCAAGUCUCAUUAGCAUGUGCAAGUAUUGUCAUUUGUAUUUUUGGAUAACAAUGGUGCUGAAAGACUGGUUCCACAUUCAAAUUUGACGCCGGUACAUUCAGGUUCAAGUAUCAUUUUGGAAUUAUUUGACUGCAUGGUCAGCCUCUCACUCUUCACGUCUUCUGCUUUUCCCCAUAACACAACAUACAAGCCAAUGAUGAUUGCAGUUGCACCUAAUAUGCUGCACAACAAAAGGAUUACAUUAAAGAUCAUUCAUGUACACAGCAGUACAAACAAAAACAAAAUCUUAAAAGAAAGCAGUCUGAGCUGAAGUCUGAAUAACAGAGAUAUCCAAAUAUGAAAUGAAAUGCAUACGUAAAUACCUUCCUAUAUGAAGUUCCUCAUGAAGAAAGAUUGUAGAUAAUACUGUUGUGAUCACCGCACUCAGUGGUGUAAAGAUUGCGCUAUAAAGAGGGCCUUUAACUGAUAUGCACCAGGAUUGGAGAAAGAAGUUUGCGCCCGAGGCGAAAACACCCUACAAAAUUUACUCAACUUUGAUCACUUUAUGAAAUCCACACCAGUUCAAUUCAGACCAAUCAGUACACUAUCUUUCAAUGAAAAGAUCAAUAAGCACACCAGCACAGAUACACCAUUUUGAAAUGAACUUACUGCAUACAAGAUGCAGGGGAGCUCCCAAACCGAAGCAAGCUUCCAAAUCUCCAAGUAGUUUGAUUCUAGGAAGAAUGCCAUCACGGCGCACUGUAAGGUAGCUAAGAAGCUCAUCCAUGUUGCCAGAGACAGCGGAUCAAGGUACGAUCUGCAAACUGGCACCUGUGACACAGUAAAAGAUAAACGAAAAAUAGUGUCAAACUGUCAAUUGAAUUGGAUCCAUCACUGCCAACUCAAAAACUAAGAAAUUCAUAUAUAUUUUUUUGCACAGGGAUUAAUGCAUCAUCAUUUGGUAAAACACAACAAAUGGUUGCAUAAACUCGCCUGCAAGAUGUACCACAUGGAGACACAGAAAGCGGUUCCGAUGAGGUAGAUGCCUCCUUUCACCCAGUCAUCAUCGGCGGCCGCCGCUGCGAAGGGAAGCCCGCUGAGGAGCUUGGGCCCCUUGAAGAACGCCAUGGCAAUCGCUCCGGCUAGGCAGACGACGGUGCCGGCGAUCUUGGCCCAGCUCCUCGAGCUCCUCAAAUCCACCUUCUCCAACCUGCGCGCGCACGGAUUCGGAUUUCACAAGAUGAACUGACCAUGAACUGGGCUUCAAAUAAGCUGAGCCCAUGAACAGUUCGGCCCAAAAAUUGAACUGGGCCGUCCUGAUAGGCCGGGCCGUGUUUACACGAAGCUAUCGAGCCCAAAAAGGGGAGAGAUCGGCAGCCGGAGAAGGCGGCGGCGCCGGAGAUGGAGACGAUAUAGUACUAGUACCCGAUGACGGCGGCGAUGGCGAAGGUGAUGCCUGGGGCGAGGUUGGUGGUGGCCCUCGCCAUGGACGGCGACGCGAGCUGGAGCCCCUGGAAGUAGAAGUACUGCCCCGUCGCGCUGCCGAAAAAAACGAAACAGCCACCGGCGAUGAGCCACGCAUGCCCGACUCGAUAAAGGGAAACGGGCGGAGGAGGUCCGUGGUGGUUUCGCGCGCGUACCAGGCGAGGGAGGCGGCGAAGAGGAGCGCGAACGCCCGGGCGCCGACGGCCAUGUGGGGGANNNNNNNNNNNNNNNNNNNNNNNNNNNNNNNNNNNNNNNNNNNNNNNNNNNNNNNNNNNNNNNNNNNNNNNNNNNNNNNNNNNNNNNNNNNNNNNNNNNNNNNNNNNNNNNNNNCCCCCCGUCCGCCGCCUUGAGCGCCAUGUCCACCAGCGCGUAGAACCACUGCACCAGCACCAUCCCCGCGCACGGCCCGUACAGCUCCGCCCACCCUCCUCCUCCCCCGCCGCCGCCGCCGCCCGCCAUGCCGAGAUCCGCGGGAGCGAGCUGCCUACCGCCGCCGCAGCCGCAGCUGCCUCAGCUCACUCGCUCAGCUAAGCUGGAGCAUCCAUUUGCUAGUGUCAUCCAGCUGCCUACUCGUUUGUUUUAAUGUUCGUGAGGAUAUAAAAAGGAAAUGUUCGUGAGUUUUGCAAGAGGAUAAGAUGUUAACGUGUAUGGUUGCACCAUUACUCCAUUAUUAAAACAAGGGUUUUUUUUCUAAUAGAAAUUAAUUCUGAUAAGGUCAUCUGGGGUGCAUUAUUAGCUACGCAAACAUCAUUUCAUUUGGAUCUAUACGAGUAUCUGAAAACAAUAGCCUAACGUCUGAAACAUGCAUCUUUGAGAAUACGGAUUCAAUUGUCACAUAGUUACAUAACCAUAAUUUUUUUUUCUAAGGAACAUAUUUGGGGUGCUUAAUUAGAUUAGGAAUCACGAGGCAUUUGAUACCGCUUCAUGACUCCAUACUGAUAAUCGGUUAUCACGAAUUUUGUCUCUGAUCACUGCGAUUUCCCUGAUUUACACGUAAAGUAGUAAACGGAUUAGCAUGUGUGCUACUCAAUGUUGCAUACAGAUUUGCAUGGCUCGUGACUUUUUUUUAAGCUUACUUUCCUACCAAUGCUGCAUUUAUGGAAGAGGAGGAAUAUUUCAACUCUGAUGAGGUCAAAAGAAAGUUGAGGUGGUGCAUCAUAAGAGGCAAGUCGAACCUAACACUGAAAAUAUCCUCAAUUCACUUUCAUUCGCAAAGCAUGAAAGUAGUAGCCAUCACCUUCUCAUCUUCGUCUCCUCUAUGGGAUUCUUUCUUAUCAACCUUAGUGCGGUAGUGUCGGCCCUUCUUAGCACAGGUCUUGCUCAUUGGCACCUUUCAAUAUCUUCUAUCGUUCUUGGAAGACCAAUUUUAUUAUACAUAUAUGAGAAAAUCGGAAGAUAUCAUAUUUUCUAAUGCAAAAUUCGGUGCCUUCAUAUACUUUGUACAUCAAGGUGUAAACUUUUGUACCUAAAGGUAUUUUCUUACCGAUGGUAAAAUUGCCCAUCUUGAAAACGUACCCGGAGGCACCACAGUUAAUUUUGAUACCUGGACUGCGUUUGGCCCCUGUUUACUAACACUAGAUUCAUUUGUUUUUCAAGUACACUCUUUCCGAACUGCUAAACGGUGUAUUUUUUACAAAAAAAUUCUAUAAAAAAGUUGCUUUAAAAAAUCAUAUUAAUCUAUUUUAUAUUUUAAUAAUUAAUUAAUCAUGUACUAAUCUAUUACUACAUUUUCCGUGCCGGAUAACUAAAACCCAUCCUCCUUCAAACGAACGUGGCCCUAGAGGUAUUUUAUAUGGAUGGUAAAAUUGUUUGGGAAAUUUAUGCUGCAUGCACCAAGGGAAGAAGGUAAGCUGUGUUUCAUAGAAAAUGGUUAGUCCAGCCUUUCCUUGAAAAUAUGCCACGUCCACUUAUUACAAAGUUCUAAAGUUCUAGGAUAAACCAAUUAAAUAUGUUGAAAUAAACGAUGACAAGAAGACGGAGUAAAACGACAUCAGCCAGCAAAUGGGAUACAAGUUAUGUACUCCUUCUAUUCGAUUUGAUAUGGUAAAAUUUUCUGCUCUAGGCUAGAUUUCAUACAUUGAUAAGUGUAUAUGGUUUAUAGAUGUGUCUAGAUUUAUUUAUAUCCAUAUAAAUGUAGAUAAGAUUAGAAAGUCUUACAUCAUGAAAUAGAUGGAAUAGGGCUGCGUUAAGAAUCAAGUUGAGCAGUCUAACAGGUUAUGCAUUUGUUCGCAGUGCAGUGAAGGACUCCCGAAUCAUAAACACAUUUGCUAAUAUGCGAUAAAAAAAAUGGAAAACAGUCAAUUAUCAAGUCAUAGGCAAGUCUCAUUAGCAUGUGCAAGUAUUGGCAUUUGUAAUUUCAGAUAACAAUGGUGCUGAAAGAUUGGUUCCACAUUCAAUUUUGAGGCCUGUACAUUCAGGUUCAAGUAUCAUUUUGGAAUUAUUUGACUGGAUGGUCAGCCUCUCACUCUUCACGUCUUCUGCUUUACCCCAUAGCACAACAUACAAACCAAUGAUG